rnacentral:rRNA from 1 species
CCUACGGGAGGCAGCAGUGGGGAAUAUUGGGCAAUGGACGCAAGUCGGACCCAGCAACGCCGCGUGAAGGAAGAAGGCGUUCGGGUUGUAAACUUCUUUUAAGGGGGAAGAGCAGAAGACGGGACCCCUUGAAUAAGCCACGGCUAACUACGUGCCAGCAGCCGCGGUAAUACGUAGGUGGCAAGCGUUGUCCGGAUUUACUGGGUGUAAAGGGCGUGCAGCCGGCGAGACAAGUCAGAUGUGAAAUCCGCCGGCUCAACCUGCGAACUGCCUUUGAAACUGUUUCCCUUGAGUAUCGGAGUGGUCAUCGGAAUUCCUCGUGUAGCGGUGACAUGCGUAGAUAUUA